rnacentral:lncRNA from 1 species
CAAGUUUUCAUUUGAAAUCGCCACUAUAGUGGCAUCACCUGUUUCGUGCCAUUACGAUAACGCCACGCCGCA